ensembl:lncRNA GALNT9-AS1 GALNT9 antisense RNA 1
AGCCAGCAAGACCAAGAGGAGCACGGAGAGCUGGCAAGACGCUGGCCCGAUGAUAUCGCCUGAGCCGUGAAUCCUCCUGGCCAACGCCAGGGCUUCCUCAGGCUUUGUCAUUGCAGGGACACUUCCCUCCCUCCCUCCUUCUCUGUCUCUCUCCCCACUGCCUCUCUUUCUAGCUUAAGCCAAUUUGAGAUGGAUUUUCUGUCACUUGCUGUUGAAGGAGUCCUGGUCCAGCCCAGGUGGAUUUCGUGCAAAUGAAACCCACAUAAUGCAAGUCUGUGUGGAAGUGAUCGUCUGCGAUCGGCGCGUGCCCUUCGCCUUAUGAACAGGAGCCAUGGGUGACACGAGCGCCUCGGCUGGGCCGCCGGGGUCCGUCUGAGGUCCAUCUGUCUCCAGGGCACAGACCCCAGGCCUGGACAGAGCCGGGCACGUGUGAAACGGGAAGAUGUCAGCUGGGGAACCGGCCGCAGCUCCCAACCUUGAUGAGGAAAGAAACCUGGUAGCUGUUCCUGCAGAAAAGCCACAUGGCUCGCCGCCUAUCUCCACGAUGGUACCUGGCUUCUCCCAUCCUCACCGUCCACGUCUACUCCCUUCCCAUCCCAGACCCGAGACGCAGAAGGCUUUAGACAGAGCAGCUUCAUCAGGAAUCUGGACUGGGCUGAGGUACCUGCUCCCAGCUCCUCAAAGUGCCAUCCGGCACAUCCACCCACGUGGGACAAGAUGCAGCUUCCGUGGCUGCUUGCAGGGGAUGGAAGACUCCCACAGACGCCUGCUAACAUCACAUGCCCAAGUGUCACCGCGAUGCCACGUCCAGUCUGAGCCAUUCCUCGCCCAUGUCCCUGUCCUUGUUGCAUAGCCGGCCUCCAGCGUGUGGCUUCGUGCAGCGACCAGACCGUCGUGUGACUUUCUGCCACGGUUGCUGGGGUUGGCACUGGGGCAGACCUGCUGGGGGGUUCUGGGUUGCAGCUGGAGCGCUGGGACUGGCAGGACGCCUCUCUUCGUGCUGCCCCAGGGCCCAUCCACGUCGACUCCCGGCGUGAAGCGUGUGGGCUGCCUCACAGCCUGGCAGCUCCAGGACUGCUGGGGGCUCCCCCCGCGGCCCCGGCUCUGCUGGCAGCACUGGGCCAGAAGCAACUCACCUUCACACAGCCGCCCUGAAGGCACGUAGGUUCCGGAAGGGAACCUUGGGAAAUGGGAUUCGUGCCAUACUCAUGGGAGUCCCAAGCUCCCUCGCCCAUUUCACUCCAUGAGGAUAGGAGGGGACAGCUGCUGACGACCUGGCAGAGACCCUGCGCCAGGCCCCACCCCACCGGCACCCUGAUCUUGCACUUCCGGCCUCGAGAAUGGUGAGAAACUCCUCGUGUUGUUUAUAAGCCACCCGGUCAGUGGCCCUCUGACCAGGGCCAGCAGCUCUGAGGCCCUCCCCCCGCCCCGGCCCCCUCCCCCUCACUCCCACACCCACCCUCUCUGGUUUUUCUAAACUCCUCCUCCCCAUUCUAACCCCUCUCUCUGGCCCCUGCGGGCUCUGGGGAAGCCCCGGGGACAGUAGGCAGGGGCCAGGCUGCUGGGCUCCCCGAGGCCCCCGGGGGCUGGGAGUGGGUUAAAGCCGUCCAGGGCUUCGCUAGGGAGGGGCUCCAGCAAGACCCUGUUUAAACCUCCUUCCCACCACAGCGUGGGCGCCACGUCGCACUCUCUGGGUAUGUCUCAAGGUGUGGAUAAUGCAGACUUCUGAGUUUAAAAAAAUACCAAAAAUAAAAUAAUCAGGCAUC